rnacentral:tRNA from 1 species
GUUGUGGCUCAGUGGUAGAGCACUUGCCUAGUAUGUGUAAAGCCCUGGGUUUGAUUCUCAGCAUGACA